rnacentral:rRNA from 1 species
AGCUUGCGUCCCAUUAGCUAGUUGGUAGGGUAAUGGCCUACCAAGGCAUAGACGGGUAGCUGGUCUGAGAGGAUGAACAGCCACACUGGAACUGAGACACGGUCCAGACUCCUACGGGAGGCAGCAGUGGGGAAUAUUGGACAAUGGGCGCAAGCCUUAUCCAGCCAUGCCGCGUGAGUGAUGAAGGCCCUAGGGUUGUAAAGCUCUUUCGCACGCGACGAUAAUGACGGUAGCGUGAGAAGAAGCCCCGGCUAACUUCGUGCCAGCAGCCGCGGUAAUACGAAGGGGGCUAGCGUUGUUCGGAAUUACUGGGCGUAAAGGGCGCGUAGGCGGCCCUGUCAGUCGGAUGUGAAAGCCCGGGGCUCAACCCCGGAACGGCAUCCGAGACGGCAGGGCUGGAGACCGGGAGAGGAGAGUGGAAUAGCCAGUGUAGAGGUGAAAUUCGUAGAUAUUGGCUGGAACACCGGUGCCGAAAGCGGCUCUCUGGCCCGGUUCUGACGCUGAGGCGCGAAAGCGUGGGGAGCAACAGGAUUAGAUACCCUGGUAGUCCACGCCCUAAACGAUGUGUGCUGGGCGUUGGGGGGCUUGCCCCCUCGGUGCCGGAGCUAACGCGGUAAGCACACCCC